rnacentral:rRNA from 1 species
GACGAACGCUGGCGGCGUGCUUAACACAUGCAAGUCGAGCGGAAAGGCCUGCUUUCCCUUGUGGAUUGCGGGUGCUCGAGUGGCGAACGGGUGAGUAACACGUGAGUGAUCUGCCCCCAACUUGGGUAUAAGCCUGGGAAACUGGGUCUAAUUCCCGAUAGGACUGCAGGGUGGUGCCUGUGGUGGAAAACGAUUUUCUAGUGGUUGGGGAUGAGCUCGCGGCCUAUCAGCUUGUUGGUGGGGUAAUGGCCUACCAAGGCGGCGACGGGUAGCCGGCCUGAGAGGGUGGACGGCCACAUUGGGACUGAGAUACGGCCCAGACUCCUACGGGAGGCAGCAGUGGGGAAUAUUGCACAAUGGGCGGAAGCCUGAUGCAGCGACGCCGCGUGGGGGAUGACGGCCUUCGGGUUGUAAACUCCUUUCGACCGCGAGGAAGCCACCUGGUUGGAAGGGUGGUGACGGUAGUGGUAGAAGAAGCACCGGCUAACUACGUG